GGGGAAUCUUGCACAAUGGAGGAAACUCUGAUGCAGCGACGCCGCGUGAGCGAAGAAGCCUUUCGGGGUGUAAAGCUCUUACGCCAGGGACGAUAAUGACGGUACCUGGAGAAGCAGCUGCGGCUAACUACGUGCCAGCAGCCGCGGUAAUACGUAGGCAGCAAGCGUUGUUCGGAAUUACUGGGCGUAAAGGGUGCGUAGGCGGCGCUCUAAGUUUGGUGUGAAAUCUCCCGGCUUAACUGGGAGGGUGCACUGAAAACUGGGGCGCUCGAGUAUGGGAGAGGAAAGCGGAAUUCCUGGUGUAGCGGUGAAAUGCGUAGAGAUCAGGAGGAACACCUGCGGUGCAGACGGCUUUCUGGACCAUCACUGACGCUGAGGCACGAAAGCGUGGGUAGCAAACA
rnacentral:rRNA from 1 species